UACGUAGGGUGCGAGCGUUAAUCGGAAUUACUGGGCGUAAAGCGUGCGCAGGCGGUGAUGUAAGACAGUUGUGAAAUCCCCGGGCUCAACCUGGGAAUUGCAUCUGUGACUGCAUCGCUAGAGUACGGUAGAGGGGGAUGGAAUUCCGCGUGUAGCAGUGAAAUGCGUAGAUAUGCGGAGGAACACCGAUGGCGAAGGCAAUCCCCUGGACCUGUACUGACGCUCAUGCA
rnacentral:rRNA from 1 species